CCACACUCUAGUUCCAGCUCGACCUCCACCAGUGCCGCCGCCGUUCCCGUCGCGCUCUGAGGUGUGAGCAGCAGCAGCAGGCCGGGUACGGGAUGGGGAAGAGGAAGAAGGGGGAGGAGGAGCAGCAGGCGGCGGAGAGGAUCCCCAGCGACCUACUCCCGGAAGUCCUGGCGCGGGUGCCGUACCGGUCCCUCUGCCGCUUCAAGUGCGUGUCCACGCCUGGCUGGCGCUCUGUUCCGACCCCGCCGUCCGCAGGAGGUCGCCGCAGGCCAUCUCCGGCUUCUUCUGCUACCCGCGUAUCGACGGUGUCAGCGGCCGGCGCGACGAGGGCCUCAGCUUCCUCAACCUGUCCGGGAGGGGCCGGCCGCUGGUCGACACACCCCUCUCUCCCUUUCUUGGGGGACUACGAGGAGGUCAGGCUCCUAAACUGCUGCGGCGGCAUUCUCCUCUGCCAAGGCUGGAAUAGAACCAUGGAAGUUCCGGAAUAGUUCGUGUGCAACCCUGCGACCGAGAAGAUCUGCCUAUGCUUGAUGUGCCAGAGCCUCAAGUUCCCUACAUCUACAUGGUGGCCCAACAUUUAACCUGGAGCAGCAAAUUCUGUUUGUGUUUCAACCCCGCCGUUCCCUCCCGCUUUGUGGUUUUCGCGUUCGUUGAGAGAGGCCACACCAUAGUGGCAGUAAGGGUCUACUCAUCCGAUACCGGAGAAUGGACGUCCAAGGAGAGCGGUCGCCAUAUUGUGGAAUAUGGUGGUGAACCAGUAUACGACUUUUUCGACGAUACUCUGUAUCUCAGAGCCUAUGAUCAUGGAGAUGACAGGUUCUAUCCGAAGGGGAAACUAAUACCCUCGAUAUUUACAGUGAACACGGACGGGGAUACUUGGAGGAGAAUUCCAAUGCCACCCCAAGUUCAUUUUGUUAGAGUUAUAAUAUAAGUCAUGUAUACCCCUUUGUAUUUAUCCCGUAGUAUAAGGGGUUUCCUGCAUAUGUACCACACCUGUACAUGUAUAUAUAUCGGCCUAUGGCCUCAUGGGAAUACAAGUUGCUUAUUCCUAA